UACAGAGGUCUCAAGCGUUGUUCGGAUUCAUUGGGCGUAAAGGGUGCGUAGGCGGCGCGGUAAGUCGGGUGUGAAAUCUCGGAGCUUAACUCCGAAACUGCAUUCGAUACUGCCGUGCUUGAGGACUGGAGAGGAGACUGGAAUUUACGGUGUAGCGGUGAAAUGCGUAGAUAUCGUAAGGAAGACCAGUGGCGAAGGCGGGUCUCUGGACAGUUCCUGACGCUGAGGCACGAAGGUGCGGGGGAGCAAACGGG
rnacentral:rRNA from 1 species